rnacentral:rRNA from 1 species
GACGAACGUUGGCGGCGUGGAUUAGGCAUGCAAGUCGUACGAGAAUCGUAGCAAUACGAGGAAAGUGGCGGAAGGGAGAGGAUUACGUGGGAAUCUACCCUCAGAACUGGGAUAGCGGCGGGAAACUGCCGGUAAUACCAGAUAAUGUCUGUGGACUAAAGGUGUGAUUCCGUCUGGGGAUGAGCCCACGUCCUAUUAGCUAGUUGGCAGGGUAAUGGCCUACCAAGGCAAUGAUGGGUAGCGGGUGUGAGAGCAUGACCCGCCUCACUGGGACUGAGAACUGCCCAGACACCUACGGGUGGCUGCAGUCGAGAAUCUUCGGCAAUGAGCGCAAGCUGGACCGAGCGACGCCGCGUGCGGGAUGAAGGCCUUCGGGUUGUAAACCGCUGUCGUAGGGGAGCAAGAGAUGAGGGUACUCCCUCUGAUUUGAGCGGUCCUAGGAGGAAGGACGGGCUAAGUUCGUGCCAGCCGCCGCAGUAA